rnacentral:rRNA from 1 species
CGCGUAGGCGGUUUGAUCAGUUAGGUGUGAAAUUCCUGGGCUUAACCUGGGGGCUGCACUUAAUACGGUCAGGCUGGAGUGUGAAAGAGGGUCGUGGAAUUCCCAGUGUAGAGGUGAAAUUCGUAGAUAUUGGGAAGAACACCGGUGGCGAAGGCGGCGACCUGGUUCAUUACUGACGCUGAGGCGCGAAAGCGUGGGGAGCAAACA